CAGCGCGGGCGCCUUCCUUACCACAACAACAGUGGCAGAAGGAGGAUGGCCUGCGGGAGGGAGCCGCUGCCCACGCCACCGCUCUCUUCAGAUGGCUUUGUGACAGCAGCGACAAUGAUGGGUGAAGGCUUCCAGGAUUUAACUCGCUUCCACCCCAAUCAUGGCGUCAACGUCAUGCUCUACGAUGAAAACACCGUUGCGUAUAGAAAAGCCAGUUUUGCCAAUGCGGUGACGAUUAGUGAACGCCCCUUGAUGCCUGAGGAGAUCUUCUUGGUAGAAAUAGAGAAGACCGAGCCGGGCUGGACAGGCCACAUGAGGUUGGGUCUGACACAGCUUGACCCAGCAAAUCUGGCAUUGCCGGAACUGCCUCCAUACUCCCUACCCGACAUGACCAAUAUGGGUAACUCGUGGAUAUGUGCCAUCACAAAAAGUCAUAAUCGUGUUCAGCCAGAUGCAGAGGGGGAGGCUGAAGGUGAUGAGGCACCGGUGGAUGUACAAGGAACAGAGGCACCGGCGGACGUACAAGGAACAGAUGGCACAGACGAGCAGAGGGAAGACGUCCAGAGGCCCGAGGUUAUGGAAGAGGGCGUAAGAAUGGGAACAGAAAACUCGCACAUGCAGGAGAGAAGAGCUGCUGAUGUGGGUGGAGGUGAUGGAGCCAAUGGUGAUGCCCUCGAGGUGUUGAGGAUACAUAACAACAGAUGUAAAGGUGCCAUGAGCAGCGGAGGGCCUCGAGGGCUCGAUUCUAUAGUCGUCGGCAACCACCUGCAAACGUCUCGUGGGUUGGUGCCAUGGUCGUCCUUGAAGCCCACACCUUAUGUCUUCACUGAUUCUUCGGGUAGAAAAAUAACUCUUAAGAGAGACAAUAUUUUGCCAACAGAUGAGGGCAGUAGGAUUGGCAUCAUCUAUUUACCGAGGGGAAAUUUGGCUGAAAUGCACUAUAUUAUCAAUGGGGAAGAUCAAGGAGCAUUUACCAAAAAGCUGCCAUACAGAGAGGCUCCUCUGUAUGUUGUCGUUGAUGUAUACGGCACCACAAAGCAAGUUAGGAUAAUUCAGCUCUAUGUGAAAUCCCUGAAGAAUGCGUGUCGGGAGACCAUCCUCAAGCACAUUGCUCAGCAUGGCGUGAAUGCUCUACCUCUUCCACGGAAACUGAAGGACUACCUUCUCUUUGAGAGCUGAGGUGUUGCGUGUUGCUGCCGACUUGGUUCUUGUCACCCCCAGGAUGUUGACAACGGAGAAGAUGCUGGUGUACAGUGGCUGUGACUAUAAAGGUACACUUGUGGUACCUGGUACUAUAAGGGUACGAUUGUGGUACCUGGGACUAUAAGGGUACGAUUGUGGUACCUGGGACGAUAAGGGUACGAGUGUGGUACCUAGGACUAUGUAUAAGGGUACGAUUGUGGUACCUAGGACUAUGUAUAAGGGUACGUUUGAAGUACCCAAGAGAGAUUUGUUGUGCCCUGGCUCUACCCUCCAGCCUCCUUCCAUGCUGAUGCAAAGUGAGCGAGCUCGUAAAUAUUGAUGUUGGCAGAUGAAGCAGAGUUAAUGAGGAGAAUAAGAACUGAAGAGAAUUGUAGGGUGCUCCAAGAAGGUCUCAAUAAACUUCAGGAGUGGGCAGAAAAUGGCUGCUGGAAUUUAAUCCAAGUAAGUGUAAAGUUAUGAAAAUGGAUAAGGGAGAUAGGAGCCCUGUGUGUAACUAUGCCAUAAGGGGAAUGCAAUUACAAGACACGGUAUGAGAAAAAGACCUGGAAGUAGACGUAAUACCAACACCUGGCAGCAAAAGUUCACGUGAGCAGGGUAAUGCUAGCAGCAUAUGGGAAGUUAGCAAACAAGAAUAUUUUUGAAGAAUCUACAGGCCAUGCACACUAUGUGAGACCAUUACUUUAUUGUACAGCACCAGCAUGGAACCCCCUCACCUUGUGAAGCACAAAAAAGUUUUAGAAAGUUCAGAGGUUUGCCACUAGAUUAAUACCAGAAUUGAGAGGUCUCGGCUAUGAGGAUAGGUAGAGCAAACUCGUCCCCUCACAACCUAAGAGGAGAUAAGAGGUGGGAUAUGAUCACUAUAUAAAAGAUUUUGAGAAUAAACAAAGUGAACAAAGGAAGCCUAAUUAAAUUAAAAGGGGUAGGCCAAGGAGACAUCAAUGCAAGCUGUGUACACAAUUGAGUCAUAGAGAUGCAAGGAAGUUCUCGUUCCCUGUAUGAGUGAUUGGCAUGUGGAAUGCAUUGCAGGAAGAGGUUUUUGAAGCCAAUUCCAUCCACAACUUUAACAACAAAUAUAACAAUGUUAAUGUUGAGAGGUAGAACACCAGGUUCAUUUGUUCACCAGGUACAAAUGGCUAGGAGGUUGGGCAUGAAGAUCUAGCUCUUGUUCCCCUAUAGCCUCUGUUAAGUCUACGCUGUUGUUGACGGUGGUCUGUGCUUGUUCCACAUUGUUGUUUGUAGGGAUCUGUGCUAGGUCUACACUGUUGGCAGAGUUCCCUGCUUGGCCUAGUCUCGUAUCUUCAGCAAAUACAAGAUAGUCUUGUACUUCUGCAGAGUUCCACGCAUUGGCCUGUUGGGGUUGGCUUCAGCGAUCUGACUGGAGCUGUUUCUAACAGUGCUGUUCAUGGUUGUCCCAUCUCUUGGAAACAAAUUCCUUCUUUGAUUUCUACACAGUCAUUUAUAACACAAUUGCAACCAUUGAAAGGGUAAAUGGUUAGCUGUCUGCAACCAUUGUAGGGGUAAAUGGUUAGCUAUUUCGAAUGACAAAUUGCAUACCAUUAAGUGUGAUUUAUUCCUGUAACCGCCUUCCAGAAAUCAGGGAAACAUCUCUGAUUUAUUAACCUCCUUGUAGGAUGUUCUGAUUUUCAGAAUCUGAAAGUUUUGUUUUUUUUUACUUUCCUUCAGUCAUAUGUCCCUUGACAAUCCUCGGUGAAUUCGAUUCUUUUAACAUGUCUUGUAUACCAUAUAGCCUUCCACAGACUUUAUUUUGAUAAUUACUUGCCCGAGUCUUGAGUAUUGUUAGAAAUCCCAUACUGACUCAUGAAUCAAUCUGAAAUAAGUCUUGUUUUGAAUUCGGUGUUUCUGUUAACCUUAGAUUUUUGUUCUGUAUUUUCUCAUACCAUUUUUUUGUUUUAGUAUCUUGAAAAUGUGUAUAUUGCAGUGAAACAAAAUACCCAUGUUAGUCAAAGUAUGGUUGUUAUUGAAACGUGUAAUGACUUCAAUCUUAUAUCUUGAGGGGGUAGUCUUAUUGUAUGGCCUUAAAAAUAUAAGACACUUGUGUACAAUCAUAAAACUGAGCUACUUUUCAUUAUCAGGUAUUGUAGUCCUACCUGUUGAAAAUUGCAGGGAUCAAUGUCCCUGUAGCCUGGUGUCUGACUAGGCCUCCUGGUUGCUGGUCUGCUCAUUCAGGGGGUUUGAUGCAGCUGCUUGCCACCUGAUGUAUGAGUCACAGCCUGGGUGAUCAGGUAUUCUUUGAAGGUACUUGAAGAAUUCCCUUUUGAACACUGUAAAAGGUCGGCCAGUUGUGCCCUAUAUGUGUAGGGAAAGAGUAAACGUGCCUAUUGCGCCUCUGCUUUUCAGUGGGGUUAUUUGGCACAUUCUGCCAUGCCUUCUGACCUCAUGUGGUCUUAUUUUUCUCUGCUGAUUUGGAACCAGUUCUUCUAAUAUUUUCUAAGUGUAAAUUAUUAUAUAUCUCUCCUGCCUUUACUCUAGGGAAUACAGAUUUAACAUAUUUAGGGGUUCCAAUAAUUUAAUGUUUUAUCGACUUCACUCGAUAAAACAUUACUCGGUUUGUUUUAUUUCCAAGGGUACCUUUGUACUUUAAAUAAUUCUGGGUCAUUCUUUAGAAAAACACAGGAAUUUUGUUGUCAACCAAAAGGAGACUGAUUUUUCUCUUUGAUCUUGAUACUGGUUAAAUGAGAAAAAUGAAACACUAAAAUGACAUUGAAAUACAUUUGCAUGUGAUUAAAGUUAGCUUAUUUAUCACUAUCUCUUGCAGAACCCCUCGUUACCUUGGGGUUCUGCAAAACCCCGGUUAAGAAAUGGUGCUUUAGAGGUUGAUAGACCUGAAGCUGAACACCAGACCAAACCCUCCUCAAGACCAUGGCUUCAUUAUGACUCGAUGAGUGACAAUUUUAAGGUUUUCUAGCACCCUCGUUUAACAAGGGGAACAGUUAAUCCUCAUGCUGUAUGCAAUUGCAUCCAAAGACUACUAUGCUAGCUGUUGGUCAGUCAGAUCAUUGGGUCAGGCCAGUAACUACAUGGGUGACCACAGUCACACUUAUGGCUGGGAUGACCUUGACAAACAGUCUUAGGCAGCAUAAACAUGCCAUAAACAGCGAUUCCCUCAGACUUAAAAUUUUAGCCGUUCUUUAAACACAAGUAUGUUCACUAAGAUAGGUCAUGUGAGCCUUGAGAUGCGGGGGAUAUAUCAGUCAUAUGUCUUGGAGGGCAAGUAUACUGGGUUGUGUGUCUUGGAGAUUGGGUAUACCGAGAUGUUCAUCUGUACAUUGUACAGUACAGUACAGUACAGUAUUAACCAAUCAGAGACCAGUGCCUGGAGGUGGUAUCACCAACGCAAACCCUGCUGUUCAUACCAGGUGGUCUGUCAGCAUGUACUAUAAGGUAUAGAGGCAAGGCCUCAGUGCAAACCUAUGUACAACAAAACCGUAAAAGAAGGUCUACAUCAAUACCAACAGGCAUUAAAGCAAUGAUAAAGUGCACACAAUCUUAGGAUAAUUGUUGGGUGUCCUGGAGGUGUUGUGGUAUAUCAAAUCAUAUGUCCUGGAGGUUGGGUAUACCUGGUCCUGUAUGGCAUUAUAUUUUGCACAUGCACUUUUGUAAUGAGAACAUAAAAAUGGAAUUAUGCUAGCUUAGUAGCAGAACUUUACAUCCACGCCAAGCUAAUCCUUGGUAUCUGUCCAACACGCAUGCCUUGUGACCGCUAGUGUAAAUUGACUGUUUAUAAUUAAGAGCUUCAGAAAGUAAUGUAUUUGUGGUCACAGUGACCAGGAUGGUCAAAUUACUCUGGGAGUAGAGCAGAUGUAGUUAAAGAAGUGUUUAGCCAGGCUCUGGCAGACAGGUAAAUAUUGAAUUACUUUCAUGAUAUUUUCCACAGUUAUCUUGAUGUAGUUCUUUGCAGAAAAUGCUGUAGCUAAUGUUUGGCUAUGUAGCAGAAUUUGUUGGACAACUUUAAAUUGUGUACAUUUACAACUAGUGGCAGCGGGCUGUUGUAAGCAACAGUCAGACAGAGCAUGUUACUGUAUUACAAGAACAAACCUGACUUGAGGCCGGGCUUGGAGAAUAGAAGCCCUUGCAAAACAGACUACAGGUAAAACUCCAGAUAAUAGAUUUGAAAAGUUGCAUUUAGAAAUUUCAUUUUGUAGGAAUCAAAAUUCUUGAUUAUUGUAAUGAGAAGUGGUAAUUUGGGUAAAAGAAAGAAGCUUCAAGUAAUAGUUUCUCUCUGGGUCAUAGUGUAUAAUUCAGUGUACUAAAUAGACUACAAUGAAGCUGAAGAAUUUGUGAAGCAAUAGUACUGUUCAUUUGGUGACUACAGUGAUCAGUUUCAGAGAUUUAUGUGUAUAUAUGAUCAGAUAUUCUGAUCAAGCAAUUGGAGUUUACAAAAUCCCGGUUACCGAUCAUAUCUGCUGUAAGACCGUAUGUAAUGAUCUUGGUUUUGUUUAUAUUUAUCAGUGCAGUGUUGUCACUGGUGUUUUUGGAAACAAGUUAUCUUAGUGGAGUUUUGCUAUACUUUGACCAUGAAAAUGAGUUGUGUGCAUUGUUGUGCGGGACUCAUUUCAACGGUGUAAAAAUUGGUGCUUACAAUAAGUGUAAAUGGUUCUUACAGCCUUUGAGGUUUACGUUAGAAUACAGUACCAACAUUGUUUUCAAUUUUCAAUUUUAUUUUAAUAUUUCUUGCUAAGGUAGCACAGUAAUGAGAGAGAAUGUCUUAAUAAUUUUCUUUGCUUAGGAAGGUGCCAAAUUUUGAGAUUGUCAGGUGCUGGAUAUAAGGGUUGCUGCUGUUGCUGUUUGAGCAUCUUGUAACACCAACUUUUCAUCUGUAUAUUUAUAUAAACCUGUUAAAAAAAUGAAA
rnacentral:misc_RNA from 1 species